rnacentral:lncRNA from 1 species
AAAGUUUUUCAAAAGUUUAAUGGAGCCAAUAUAUAAAUUGUGUUCUGGCAGACGUGAAGACCUGCUUUCUCUUACCAAAGAAAAUGGCACAUGUUUUAUCAAAAUUUGACAAUCCAGAGUAAAGGGUACUGAGAUUCAGAGCACCAACUAAAACAAAAACCACCAAAAAAAUUUUUUGUCACUAACUUGGAGAGAGGAACUACAACCAAGGCAUAAAUGGGAGAUUAAAUAUGUGUUCCUCAGCCUCAAAAACCUUUAGGAAGGAGUUCUGACCUCUUGUGAGCAACGCUUCACACCGUCAAACCCAAUUCCAGAAUCUAAAUUUACAAAGAUAGAAAACAAAGAUAACUCCAAAUGCAUUUCUUGGUAUAUUCCAAAAGGAAGUGUAAAGUAUUGAGAAUACACAGGCUUGUCCAUUUCUGGUAUAAUGAUAAACUGUUAUAAUUCUUCCUAUCAUAUUAAAAAAAAAUCCUUUUUUGCAAAAAUUUAGAAAUGCCUUUCAUUCCUAGGUUUAGCAUGGAACUGACUUUCUUUAAAUAAGGGCUGUAUCUAUAGUGAAUAUAGAACUCCAGUUCACACAUUUCCAUUCACAUCCCACCUGUCAAUGAAUAUUAUGGUGAACUUAGCAAAAUUUCUUCAACGAUUAUUAAAUGGCUGGAGAAAAUUGCAAACAUUAACAAAGUGCUGUGAGUAAUUACUGGAAAAACCCAUAUACUGAUUUGCAAUAGUCUUUAAAGGAUAAAAAACAGGAAGUAACUGAUACUGAACUAUAAGUUUGCAAGGAAACAUUGUCACUGUCCUACUUGAG